CAGCAGCCACGGGAAUACGAGGGGUGCAAGCGUUAUUCGGAUUGAUUGGGUGUAAAGGGUGUGCAGACGGCUUAUUAAGUCACUUGUUAAAUUCUUCGGCCUAACUGAAGGUCUGCAAGUGAUACUGAUGAGCUAGAGUGCAGAAGAGGAGAGUGGAAUUCCACGUGUAGCGGUGAAAUGCGUAGAGAUGUGGAGGAACACCAGUGGCGAAGGCGACUCUCUGGUCUGUAACUGACGCUGAGGAGCGAAAGCGUGGGGAGCGAACAGGAUUAGAUACCCGAGUAGUCCCUGUCUCUUAUAC
rnacentral:rRNA from 1 species